UACGGAGGUAGCGAGCGUUACUCGGAAUCACUGGGCGUAAAGGGCGCGUAGGCGGUCUGGCAAGUCUGGUGUGAAAGCCCAGGGCUCAACCCUGGAAGGGCACUGGAAACUGCUAGGCUUGAGUUCCGGAGAGGAGGGGGGAAGUCCCGGUGUAGCGGUGAAAUGCGUAGAUAUCGGGAGGAAUACCGGUGGCGGAGGCGCCCCUCUGGACGGGGACUGACGCUGAGGCGCGAAAGCGUGGGGAGCAAACAGG
rnacentral:rRNA from 1 species